UAGAAGCUUGCUUCUAUGACGUUAGCGGCGGACGGGUGAGUAACACGUGGGCAACCUGCCUGUAAGACUGGGAUAACUUCGGGAAACCGAAGCUAAUACCGGAUAGGAUCUUCUCCUUCAUGGGAGAUGAUUGAAAGAUGGUUUCGGCUAUCACUUACAGAUGGGCCCGCGGUGCAUUAGCUAGUUGGUGAGGUAACGGCUCACCAAGGCAACGAUGCAUAGCCGACCUGAGAGGGUGAUCGGCCACACUGGGACUGAGACACGGCCCAGACUCCUACGGGAGGCAGCAGUAGGGAAUCUUCCGCAAUGGACGAAAGUCUGACGGAGCAACGCCGCGUGAGUGAUGAAGGCUUUCGGGUCGUAAAACUCUGUUGUUAGGGAAGAACAAGUACGAGAGUAACUGCUUGUACCUUGACGGUACCUAACCAGAAAGCCACGGCUAACUACGUGCCAGCAGCCGCGGUAAUACGUAGGUGGCAAGCGUUAUCCGGAAUUAUUGGGCGUAAAGCGCGCGCAGGCGGUUUCUUAAGUCUGAUGUGAAAGCCCACGGCUCAACCGUGGAGGGUCAUUGGAAACUGGGGAACUUGAGUGCAGAAGAGAAAAGCGGAAUUCCACGUGUAGCGGUGAAAUGCGUAGAGAUGUGGAGGAACACCAGUGGCGAAGGCGGCUUUUUGGUCUGUAACUGACGCUGAGGCGCGAAAGCGUGGGGGAGCAAACAGGAUUAGAUACCCUGGUAGUCCACGCCGUAAACGAUGAGUGCUAAGUGUUAGAGGGUUUCCGCCCUUUAGUGCUGCAGCUAACGCAUUAAGCACUCCGCCU
rnacentral:rRNA from 2 species